rfam:Salmo salar isolate Sally breed double haploid chromosome ssa14, whole genome shotgun sequence.
UGGCUCAGUUGGUAGAGCAUGGUGUUUGCAACGCCAGCAUGGUGUGUGCAACGCCAGGGGUGUGUGUGUGUGGCCCCCCGUGGGUUCGAUUCCCAC